GCACUCCCCAGUACACUUCCUGCAUGCGAAUCUCAGAUGCUCAAAGUCUGUUGUCUGGAGAAGCUGACCUAGACAGGAUUCCUUCAAAUCACCAGGAUUCCUUUAAUAUUGCAGUACAAUCUACAUAAAGUAUGAGUUUUAGUGAGAAAAAUUCUUCUUGGAGUCUAGAUAAUUGUGUAAAGAGUACCUGCUCCUCCACCUGCAAAUCUCUGCAGGGUGCACUGAUUUGCCCUAUGAAGCUGAAAGCAAAGAAAUAGGCAACCACUAGUUUCUGAGGAGAUUUCUGCAACUAACAAUUAUCCACAAGUGAUGUUGAUGUUUUGGGGAACAAUUUUGUAUUCCACAUCUUCUGACGGUAAUGGAACUUCCUUUCUGAAAGUUUGUGCAUGGUAGAUAUUAUAAAAUCUCCAAAAUAACCUUUAUCAGGUAAAUUUUAAGAAGUUAUUUGGUGUGGCAAGAAAGCACCUGCCUUUCACCUGUGAGGAGUACAGUUGGUUGACAGCUUCCAGCCAUAGCAUCUUUGGGGCCACCUGCAGCAUUUGUACUAGGGCUGACCUCUUCUCAAUGUGCCCCAGACAAUGACUGAGCCUAGGGUGGCCUAUGGUGGGACUCAGAGAUCCCCUUUGGGUUGGUUAAAAUUUUUUCCAAUUUGCCCAAACUUGCUUCCUUUCCCUUUUAUCUUCACAGGCAUUGAUCUUCAGCCCCAACUUCAAAACCACUAUACCUGUCUCUGUAUCUGCUUCCUGUAGAACCCAAAGUGUCCAAUUUAGAUACAUGUUUAUGCAUACAUUUUUAUUAUUUCAAGAUACAAAAAAGUUAUUGUGCAGGUUAACAUGUAAGCAAGAUUCUUAGUAUUUCUUUUAAGUUCCUGUGCUGGAGACGACCAUUGUAAAACCUUUCAACACUUUGAUUUUAGCAGUUCACAUUUUGUCCACUAGGAUAAGAAAUCUAUCAAGAAAAUAAAUUUAUUUUAGCCAACUCUGUAAGUUAGUUACAGCCACUGUUUGUACUUGGAAAUAUAU